rnacentral:rRNA from 1 species
GAACUUAAGCAUAUCAAUAAGCGGAGGAAAAGAAACCAACAGGGAUUGCCUCAGUAACGGCGAGUGAAGCGGCAACAGCUCAAAUUUGAAAUCUGGGUCUUUCAGGCUCCGAGUCGUAAUUUGUAGAAGAUGCUUCGGGUGUGGCUCCGGUCUAAGUUCCUUGGAACAGGACGUCAUAGAGGGUGAGAAUCCCGUACGUGACUGGUUGCCUUCGCCCAUGUGAAGCUCUUUCGACGAGUCGAGUUGUUUGGGAAUGCAGCUCAAAAUGGGUGGUAAAUUUCAUCUAAAGCUAAAUAUUGGCCAGAGACCGAUAGCGCACAAGUAGAGUGAUCGAAAGAUGAAAAGCACUUUGGAAAGAGAGUUAAACAGUACGUGAAAUUGUUGAAAGGGAAGCGCUUGCAACCAGACUUGCACGUUGCCGAUCAUCCGGGGUUCUCCCCGGUGCACUCGGUUUCGUUCAGGCCAGCAUCGGCUUGGGUGGUUGGAUAAAGGCCUUGGGAAUGUAGCUUCUUUCGGGGAGUGUUAUAGCCCUCGGUGCAAUGCAGCCUAUCCGGACCGAGGACCGCGCUUCGGCUAGGAUGCUGGCGUAAUGGUUGUAAGCGACCCGUCUUGAAACACGGACCAAGGAGUCUAACAUCUAUGCGAGUGUUUGGGUGUCAAACCCAUACGCGUAAUGAAAGUGAACGGAGGUGAGAACCCUUAAGGGUGCAUCAUCGACCGAUCCUGAUGUCUUCGGAUGGAUUUGAGUAAGAGCAUAGCUGUUGGGACCCGAAA